rnacentral:rRNA from 1 species
GUCGAGCGGAGAGAGGUAGCUUGCUACUGAUCUUAGCGGCGGACGGGUGAGUAAUGCUUAGGAAUCUGCCUAUUAGUGGGGGACAACAUUUCGAAAGGAAUGCUAAUACCGCAUACGUCCUACGGGAGAAAGCAGGGGAUCUUCGGACCUUGCGCUAAUAGAUGAGCCUAAGUCGGAUUAGCUAGUUGGUGGGGUAAAGGCCUACCAAGGCGACGAUCUGUAGCGGGUCUGAGAGGAUGAUCCGCCACACUGGGACUGAGACACGGCCCAGACUCCUACGGGAGGCAGCAGUGGGGAAUAUUGGACAAUGGGCGCAAGCCUGAUCCAGCCAUGCCGCGUGUGUGGAGAAGGCCUUAUGGUUGUAAAGCACUUUAAGCGAGGAGGAGGCUACUUUAGAUAAUACCUAGAGAUAGUGGACGUUACUCGCAGAAUAAGCACCGGCUAACUCUGUGCCAGCAGCCGCGGUAAUACAGAGGGUGCAAGCGUUAAUCGGAUUUACUGGGCGUAAAGCGCGCGUAGGCGGCUAAUUAAGUCAAAUGUGAAAUCCCCGAGCUUAACUUGGGAAUUGCAUUCGAUACUGGUUAGCUAGAGUGUGGGAGAGGAUGGUAGAAUUCCAGGUGUAGCGGUGAAAUGCGUAGAGAUCUGGAGGAAUACCGAUGGCGAAGGCAGCCAUCUGGCCUAACACUGACGCUGAGGUGCGAAAGCAUGG